rnacentral:lncRNA from 1 species
GGAACCAAGAUUGGGGAAUCGCUCAGUCCGACCGCGGGAAGUCCCUGAAGUCCAGUGUCUAGACAGAAGACAGGAUUACUUGAGAUGACUCCAGAUGUAGUAGAUGAUCUUGGCAUCUUCCAUGUCUGACCCACAGCACCUGCUUUAGUGGCCUUCAUGGCAACUGUUCUCAUCCAACCAUUCCACUGGGCCCAGCUUGGCAGGGGUUUCCAGAGUUGAGUGUGAACUUUCAUCAUUUCAUGAGAAAGAAAAACUUGUCAUUUUGUAGAGGACAAACCGAAGUAUUACACUUUUUUCAUUAUGUAGAGAAGAGCCGAUGGUGUACCCUGUGAAAUUGCUUUCUAUCUACCUGCCAGACUACCAGGUGAGCUGUCUUAGAGGCCACAUGGUAGACCAAUUUGCUGGAUGCCGGG